rnacentral:rRNA from 1 species
GUGCCAGCAGCCGCGGUAAUACCAGCUCCAUUAGCGUAUAUUAAUGUUGUUGCAGUUAAAAAGCUCGUAGUUGGAUUUCUGACAUAACGGACCUGGCCCGGCGUCCGUAAACGUGACGUUGUGUGCCGGUGAUUCAAUCUGGUUCCGUGGGUUAUUUCGCGUGCCUUGGCGCCUCUUGGUCCCCUUCGGGGUGUAUCGGAGCGUGGCCGGGGUUUCGCGGCCUGCGGAAUUGUCCGUUGGUCAUCCUUCAAGAAAACCGUUCUGCCUUUCGUUAGGUCGGUNCGGGGCUCUUGAUCGUUUACUUUGAAAAAACUUGAGUGUUUAAGGCUAGGCUUAUGCCGUGAAUA